AGUCAAGUAAUUAAGUGCAUGUGGUGGAUGCCUUGGCAGUCAGAGGCGAUGAAAGACGUGAUAGCCUGCGAAAAGCUCCGGGGAGGCGGCAAAUAUCCUUUGAUCCGGAGAUGUCUGAAUGGGGGAACCCACCUACUUUAAGGUAGGUAUUGCAACAUGAAUACAUAGUGUUGCAAGGCGAACGAGGGGAAGUGAAACAUCUCAGUACCCUUAGGAAAAGAAAUCAAUUGAGAUUCCCUCAGUAGCGGCGAGCGAACGGGGAUCAGCCCAUUAAGUUAUGUGUGUUUUAGUGGAACGCUCUGGGAAGUGCGAACGUAGAGGGUGAUAUUCCCGUACACGAAAGGGCACACAUAAUGAUGACGAGUAGGGCGAGGCACGUGAAACCUUGUCUGAAUAUGGGGGGACCAUCCUCCAAGGCUAAAUACUCCUGACUGACCGAUAGUGAACCAGUACCGUGAGGGAAAGGCGAAAAGAACCCCUGUGAGGGGAGUGAAAUAGAUCCUGAAACCGCAUGCAUACAAGCAGUGGGAGCACCUUCGUGGUGUGACUGCGUACCUUUUGUAUAAUGGGUCAGCGACUUAUAUUCAGUAGCGAGGUUAACCGUAUAGGGGAGCCGUAGAGAAAUCGAGUCUUAAUAGGGCGUUUAGUUGCUGGGUAUAGACCCGAAACCAGGCGAUCUAUCCAUGAGCAGGUUGAAGGUUGGGUAACACUAACUGGAGGACCGAACCCACUGUCGUUGAAAAGCCAGGGGAUGACUUGUGGAUAGGGGUGAAAGGCUAAUCAAGCCUGGUGAUAGCUGGUUCUCCCCGAAAGCUAUUUAGGUAGCGCCUCGGACGAAUACCAUAGGGGGUAGAGCACUGUUUCGGCUAGGGGGUCAUCCCGACUUACCAAACCGAUGCAAACUCCGAAUACCUAUGAGUACUAUCCGGGAGACAGACUGCGGGUGCUAACGUCCGUAGUCAAGAGGAAAACAAUCCAGACCGCCAGCUAAGGCCCCAAAAUCAUAGUUAAGUGGGAAACGAUGUGGGAAGGCAUAGACAGCUAGGAGGUUGGCUUAGAAGCAGCCACCCUUUAAAGAAAGCGUAAUAGCUCACUAGUCGAGUCGGCCUGCGCGGAAGAUGUAACGGGGCUAAAACUAUGUGCCGAAGCUGCGGAUNNGCGAAUGCUGACGUGAGUAACGACAAAACGGGUGAAAAACCCGUUCGCCGAAAGACCAAGGGUUCCAGUCCAACGUUAAUCGGGGCUGGGUGAGUCGACCCCUAAGGCGAGGCCGAAAGGCGUAGUCGAUGGGAAAAUGGUUAAUAUUCCAUUACUUCUGUGUAAUGCGAUGAGAGGACGGAGAAGGCUAAAUCAGCCUGGCGUUGGUUGUCCAGGUGAAAGGAUGUAGGCAUGUAUCUUAGGCAAAUCCGGGGUACUCUAUGCUGAGAUCUGAUAGCAAGCUGUACUUGUACAGCGAAGUGGUUGAUGCCAUGCUUCCAGGAAAAGUCUCUAAGCUUCAGUUACACAGGAAUCGUACCCGAAACCGACACAGGUGGUCAGGUCGAGUAGACCAAGGCGCUUGAGAGAACUCUGCUGAAGGAACUAGGCAAAAUGGUACCGUAACUUCGGGAGAAGGUACGCUGUUGUUGGUGAUGGAACUCGCUUCCUGAGCUGACGACAGCCGCAGAAACCAGGCCGCUGCAACUGUUUAUUAAAAACAUAGCACUCUGCAAACACGAAAGUGGACGUAUAGGGUGUGAUGCCUGCCCGGUGCUGGAAGGUUAAUUGAUGGGGUUAGCGUAAGCGAAGCUCUUGAUCGAAGCCCCAGUAAACGGCGGCCGUAACUAUAACGGUCCUAAGGUAGCGAAAUUCCUUGUCGGGUAAGUUCCGACCUGCACGAAUGGCAUAAUGAUGGCGGCGCUGUCUCCAGCAGAGGCUCAGUGAAAUCGAAAUCGCUGUGAAGAUGCAGUGUACCCGCGGCUAGACGGAAAGACCCCGUGAACCUUUACUGCAGCUUGACACUGAACUUUGACCUUACUUGUGUAGGAUAGGUGGGAGGCUUUGAAGCUGGAACGCUAGUUCCAGUGGAGCCGUCCUUGAAAUACCACCCUGGUAAUGUUGAGGUUCUAACUCUGUCCCGUGAUCCGGGACGAGGACCGUGUCUGGUGGGUAGUUUGACUGGGGCGGUCUCCUCCUAAAGAGUAACGGAGGAGUACGAAGGUGCGCUCAGCGUGGUCGGAAAUCACGCGUAGAGUAUAAAGGCAAAAGCGCGCUUAACUGCGAGACCCACAAGUCGAGCAGGUACGAAAGUAGGUCUUAGUGAUCCGGUGGUUCUGUAUGGAAGGGCCAUCGCUCAACGGAUAAAAGGUACUCUGGGGAUAACAGGCUGAUACCGCCCAAGAGUUCAUAUCGACGGCGGUGUUUGGCACCUCGAUGUCGGCUCAUCUCAUCCUGGGGCUGAAGCAGGUCCCAAGGGUAUGGCUGUUCGCCAUUUAAAGAGGUACGCGAGCUGGGUUUAGAACGUCGUGAGACAGUUCGGUCCCUAUCUACCGUGGGCGCUGGAAAUUUGAGAGGAUCUGCUCCUAGUACGAGAGGACCAGAGUGGACGAACCUCUGGUGUACCGGUUGUGACGCCAGUCGCAUCGCCGGGUAGCUAUGUUCGGAAGGGAUAACCGCUGAAAGCAUCUAAGCGGGAAGCCUACCUCAAGAUAAGAUUUCCCUAGGACUUUAUGUCCUCUAAAGAGCCGUUCGAGACUAGGACGUUGAUAGGUUGGAUGUGGAAGCAUAGUGAUAUGUGAAGCUGACCAAUACUAAUUGCUCGUGAGGCUUGACUAU
rnacentral:rRNA from 1 species